rnacentral:rRNA from 1 species
CGGAGGAAAAGAAACUAACAAGGAUUCCCCUAGUAACUGCGAGUGAAGCGGGAAAAGCUCAAAUUUAAAAUCUGGCGGUCCUUGUGGCCGUCCGAGUUGUAAUUUAGAGAAGUGUUAUCCGCGCUGGACCGUGUACAAGUCUCCUGGAAUGGAGCGUCAUAGAGGGUGAGAAUCCCGUCUUUGACACGGACUACCAGGGCAUUGUGAUGCGCUCUCAAAGAGUCGAGUUGUUUGGGAAUGCAGCUCAAAAUGGGUGGUAAAUUCCAUCUAAAGCUAAAUAUUGAGGAGAGACCGAUAGCGAACAAGUACCGUGAGGGAAAGAUGAAAAGAACUUUGGAAAGAGAGUUAAACAGUACGUGAAAUUGCUGAAAGGGAAACGCUUGAAGUCAGUCGCGUUGUUCAGAACUCAGCCCGCCUUUUGGUUGGUGUACUUUCUGUUCAACGGGUCAGCAUCAGUUUUGGUCGGCGGAAAAAGGCUUAGAGAAUGUGGCAUCUUCGGGUGUGUUAUAGCUCUGGGUCGUAUACGUCGGCUGGGACUGAGGAACUCAGCACGCCGAAAGGCCGGGUACUUGUACCACGUUCGUGCUUAGGAUGCUGGCAUAAUGGCUUUAAUCGACCCGU